UACGAAGGGGGCUAGCGUUGCUCGGAAUCACUGGGCGUAAAGCGCACGUAGGCGGCUUGUUAAGUCAGGGGUGAAAUCCUGGAGCUCAACUCCAGAACUGCCUUUGAUACUGGCGAGCUUGAGUCCGGGAGAGGUGAGUGGAACUGCGAGUGUAGAGGUGAAAUUCGUAGAUAUUCGGAGGAACACCAGUGGCGAAGGCGGCUCACUGGUCCAUUACUGACGCUGAGGUGCGAAAGCGUGGGGAGCAAACAGG
rnacentral:rRNA from 1 species